rnacentral:rRNA from 1 species
GAUGAACGCUGGCGGCGUGCUUAACACAUGCAAGUCGAACGAGGUCCAGCCGACCUUCGGGAAAGCGAAGAUCUAGUGGCGAACGGGUGCGUAACACGUGAGAAACCUGCCCCAGACUUGGGAAUAACAGUCGGAAACGUCUGCUAAUACCGAAUACCUUCGUAACGUCGCAUGGCGAAUCGAAGAAAGCUUUUGCGGUUUGGGAGGGUCUCGCGGCCUAUCAGCUAGUUGGUGAGGUAACGGCACACCAAGGCAUCGACGGGUAGCUGGUCUGAGAGGAUGAUCAGCCACACUGGGACUGAGACACGGCCCAGACUCCUACGGGAGGCAGCAGUGGGGAAUAUUGCACAAUGGGCGAAAGCCUGAUGCAGCAACGCCGCGUGCGGGAAGAAGGCCUUAGGGUUGUAAACCGCUUUCAGCAGGGAAGAAACUGACGGUACCUGCAGAAGAAGGUGCGGCCAACUACGUGCCAGCAGCCGCGGUGACACGUAGGCACCAAGCGUUAUCCGGAUUUAUUGGGCGUAAAGAGCUCGUAGGCGGUUCGGUAAGUCGGGUGUGAAAACUCUGGGCUCAACCCAGAGAGGCCACCCGAUACUGCUGUGACUAGAGUGCGGUAGGGGAGCGGGGAAUUCCUGGUGUAGCGGUGAAAUGCGCAGAUAUCAGGAGGAACACCAGUGGCGAAGGCGCCACUCUGGGCCGUAACUGACGCUGAGGAGCGAAAGCAUGGGUAGCAAACAGGAUUAGAUACCCUGGUAGUCCAUGCCGUAAACGUUGGGCACUAGGUGUGGGUCUCAACCAACGAGAUCCGCGCCGUCGCUAACGCAUUAAGUGCCC